rnacentral:rRNA from 1 species
GAUGAACGCUAGCGGCAGGCUUAAUACAUGCAAGUCGAGGGGUAACAUGGGGUAGCAAUACUCUGAUGACGACCGGCAAACGGGUGCGGAACACGUACGCAACUUUCCCAAAACUGGUGAAUAGCCCUCCGAAAGGAGGAUUAAUACACCGUAACAUAUAGAGGUGGCAUCGCCUUUAUAUUAUAGCUCCGGCGGUUUUGGAUGGGCGUGCGCCUGAUUAGGUAGUUGGUGUGGUAACGGCUCACCAAGCCUACGAUCAGUAACUGGUGUGAGAGGAUGAUCAGCCACACUGGAACUGAGACACGGUCCAGACUCCUACGGGAGGCAGCAGUGGGGAAUUUUGGACAAUGGGCGCAAGCCUGAUCCAGCAAUGCCGCGUGCAGGAAGAAGG